rnacentral:rRNA from 1 species
ACUACGGGAGGCAGCAGUGGGGAAUAUUGGGCAAUGGGCGCAAGCCUGACCCAGCAACGCCGCGUGAAGGAAGAAGGCUUUCGGGUUGUAAACUUCUUUUCUGAGGGACGAAGAAAGUGACGGUACCUCAGGAAUAAGCCACGGCUAACUACGUGCCAGCAGCCGCGGUAAUACGUAGGUGGCAAGCGUUAUCCGGAUUUAUUGGGUGUAAAGGGCGUGUAGGCGGGAAAGCAAGUCAGAUGUGAAAACUCAGGGCUCAACCCUGAGCCUGCAUUGGAAACUGUUUUUCUUGAGUGCUGGAGAGGCAAUCGGAAUUCCGGGUGUAGCGGUGAAAUGCGUAGAUAUACGGAGGAACACCAGUGGCGAAGGCGGAUUGCUGGACAGUAACUGACGCUGAGGCGCGAAAGCGUGGGGAGCAAAUAGGAUUAGAUACCCGAGUAGUC